rnacentral:rRNA from 1 species
GAUGAACGCUAGCGGCAGGCCUAACACAUGCAAGUCGAGGGGGAGGUUACUUUCGGGUAACUGAGACCGGCGUACGGGUGCGUAACGCGUAUACAAUCUGCCUUUCACUGGGGGAUAGCCCGAAGAAAUUUGGAUUAAUACCCCAUAGUAUAGUAAUACGGCAUCGUGAUGCUAUUAAAGCUUAGGUGGUGAAAGAUGAGUAUGCGUUCUAUUAGCUAGUUGGAGAGGUAACGGCUCCCCAAGGCGAUGAUAGAUAGGGGUUCUGAGAGGGAUGUCCCCCACACUGGUACUGAGAUACGGACCAGACUCCUACGGGAGGCAGCAGUGAGGAAUAUUGGACAAUGGUCGGAAGACUGAUCCAGCCAUGCCGCGUGCAGGAUGAAGGUCUUAUGGAUUGUAAACUGCUUUUGUAAGGGAAGAAUAAGGGCUACGCGUAGUUUGAUGACGGUACCUUACGAAUAAGUAUCGGCUAACUCCGUG